AUUCCUGUGUGUCAGGAAAGUGACAGGGAUCCAAUACGCAGAGUGCGCACAGAAUGAGGUACGUAUACCGGACCUUAGAAUGGCCGGACUAACGUAAGGACAAAGCAAGAAUAGUCAAAAGGUAAGCCGAGGUCAAGGGAGCCGGAGGACAGGUAAGCGAGAUACAAGCCGAGUCAAAGGAGAGGAGAGGACAACAGGACAAAAGACAAGCAAGGGUCAAAACCGGAAACACAAGAUAAAGAACGCGCUGAGUGACUAGCAAGCUAGAACCACGACAGGGCAAUGAGCAGUAGUAAAGGUUUCCUUUAAAUACCC